UCCUCUGGUGUUCGCUCGCCCCGGCCUCUGUUCCUCCAACUCGGCGCCCAGCUCCCUCUCUCUUGGCCAUGGCUGCCGUGUCGAGGUCCCUUCCCCGCGAGCUCCCCUGCUCCCUCGCGGCGACCUUCCCUCUGCCAUCUCCUGGUGCCGCGCCCCUACUCUGCUCUCUGUUCGGCCAUGGCCGCCGUGCCAAGGCCUCCUUCCCCGCGCGCAGCUUUUCCUCUACUCCUCCCGGCUCCUAGCGCUCUCGUCCUGUCUCCCUGCUCGCCAGACGUGUGUGAUCAAAGACGUCAACCGGAAACCGUCGUCGUGCUUCCGACUAUCUCGUCGAAUUAGUCAGGGUAAGCAAAUUUGUUAUUCGUGCUAGUGGAUUGAUGAAUGGUCUGACUAGGUAUAUUAAUCGUGAUAAUUAUGUGGUGUGUCGGAUUGCUAAUUCGGUUAUUAGUUUGAUGAAGGGAACGGUAGGUAUACUAUUUAUUAGGAUGCCCAAGUCAUCUACAGUGAUUUGGUCGAUGUUGUGUGGAGAAAGAGGUCGCAAUAGGUCCCAGUGCUUGCGGGAUUGUAGGUGUUAAAAAUGUGAUGUUUUAUUAAUAUAUAUGUGAUACACAGGUUAACCGGGAAAUUAGUUUAGAAAUUUAAUGAAAGUUCUUCUAUCAAAUUUUAUAAGUGUUAGGUGUCCAAGAAUUUUGAAGUUAAAGUUUUAAGUCGUUUAGUGUGCUCUCUAAACUAGGUAUGAUAUUCUAUGUGUGUUGGUCGAUUUCAUGAUUUGAAUGGAUGUUGAUUGCUACUUCGAAUAUUUAGGAUCAAGUAACAUCGAUAUAUCUGUUUCAACCAAAAUCUAGGGUCUGUCUGAUAAGUAAUGCGUAUAAACAAUUUAGGUCUUUUAGUUCUAAAGUUAUAAUUGGUAUAUUGUAUACAAUAUGCUUGGUUAUAAGUGUUUCAUCCUUUUUAGUGUAAAUUAUCUAUCUUGUACUAUUUAUACUCGUGCUCAUACAUGUGCAUCGUGCAUCCCAUGAGGUACGUUAAUUGAUCGCGUGAUGCGGAAGACGAGCCAAGUUGACCUCAAGAUGGUGCUAGGAGUGGACAUCUCCGCAAGACGACGUCGUCAGUCGGAUGAAUCUGAAGAUGGAUAAUUGAACGAGUACCAAGACAAAGGCUGCUCGUCAAGAGAACAUCGUCUAACAACACUAACCUAGUGUUACUCAGGCAAGCCCCGAUGCAUUUGCCACCUUCUUGCUAUUUUAAAAUAUUUAUCACCUUGUUUGAUGCAUUAGGUGAUAGGAGUUGUGUGCUAAACCGUUGAUGCAUUUCCUUCCUUGAAAAUUGAUUACCCUUCCUUGAUACCCAUUUUGAAAAGAAUUUUAUGAUGCUUAGCCUUGCUUUAGCAAACAAAAAUGUUUUGUUUUAAAACAAAAGUGAUGCUUCAGUGGGUGGGAAGUUUUCAAAAAUAAAACUUGAUGGUGGAUCCAUCACGGCCAUAAUGGGUUCAACAUUGGAAAAGAUGUACCUCUGCCAGGUACCAAACUUUGGGUUUAAAUAAUAAAGCUGAGACCGGGCGGUUGACUUGCACGAGAAGGGAGUCUCGGUGUAAUGUCUCCGUCUGAUUCGAUUAAGGACCGGGUCGAUGUGGGCCUGCUGACCGAGGACCCUUUAACUGGUCACAUGCCUCGUCAUGGGUAAGCUUUGCCUCGGGCAGACUAAUACUAGAAUAAGACAACACGCAAUGGGAGUGGAGAGAUGGCGAGAGUAGCGUGUACCCUCUGUGGCAAGAGGCUAGACGAUGGUGUAUAUGUGCUCUCGGUUGGCAUGAACUUGAUCUGGUCUUAAGAACCCCGGUGGCGAGUUGACAUAUGCAAGGGUUAAGUGCUACAUAUGUCGUGUGAUUGAGAUCCCCAGCUGGGUAUUAAUUGAUUCAGACCGCCGUUACUUCUCGGACAUGAAGACUUGGUCACUGACUUACACGUAGCAAUCCAGUGAACUGAUGGGUUGAUAAAAGACGACUAGUGCAGGCCAAGUGUUUGAACUAGGGUAGAAAGAACUCUAGAUGCAGGUAACUCUACUUAACAUGACAAUAAAACUGGAUUUUUAACGAUCCAUUAUUUGUAAGCAUUUCUGCAAAAUGAGUCUUUGAUUCUUGUUGAACCAUACCUUGAAUCCUUUUGAAACCAGCAUACACUUGAGAGUCUUUUCUUUAGUCGGGUAAGUCUUGCUGAGUACUUGCGUACUUAGGGUUUUACCCAUUGUUGCUGCAGGUUACGAGUCAUUUUGAUUGUGAAUGGUGUUAAGCGCCGGUGGGCACGACCUUCUUAUAAGUCUAAGUACUUCUUCUAUACUUCUUAUUGAGGAUGGUCACUUGAGCUAGCAUAUAUUUUAAACAUAUAAAUGUUUAUACAUUCAAAACAUAGUGCAAUUACUCCGAUCAUGUACCAUGUAAACUUGAUGUAACUUGUAAAAUUUGGUAAUAAGAUUUCCACUGCAAAUUGUUGGUGUGUGAUUUGUGUUUACUUAAUCCUGCGGUCCUGGUUAUAAGUGGUUUAUCUGAGGUCCCUGGGACACUCGGACAGAUCCUAUUAAGUUAUCUGGUGCACAUGCAUAGCCGUCUGAGGUCUUUGAGACAAGGGCAGGUGCAUGUGGGCCCAUUAACUUGGGAGGUUCUGCCACAACUUUCUCAGUUUGCCCAUCAGUUUGAGGAUGGUAGGCCGAGCUAAAAUUUAGUCUUGUAUCCAAGCAUUCAUGUAACUUCUGCCAAAAUCGAGAAGUAAACUGGGAGCCUCGGUCUGACACAAUCUUCUUAGGCACUCCGUGUAGACAAACUAUCUGAGCCAUGUACAACUCUGUUAGCCUAGCACCCGAAUAUGUGGUCUUCACUGGGAUAAAGUGGGCCACCUUAGUGAGUCUGUCCACAAUUACCCAAAUAGAAUCAUACCCAGUAGUUGUGCAGGGUAGACCUACAAUGAAGUCCAUAUCAAUUUCUUCCCACUUCCACUCAGGUAUUUUAAGCGGGUGCAGCAAACCGGCAGGUCUCUGAUGUUCAACUUUUACCCUCUAGCAAACAUCACACAAUGCUACAUGUGACACAACAUCCUUCUUUAGACCAUACCACCAAUACUUCUGCUUCAGGUCCUGGUACAUCUUGAUACUACCAGGAUGGAUGGAGUAAGAUUAGUCAUGUGCCUCCUUCAAUAUGGUCUCACGAAGACUAUCAAUCUUAGGGACACAAAUCCUGUUCUUGAACUAGAUUGUGCCUUGAUCAUCCUCUGUGAAGCAUGAACCUCUACCUUCUGCCAUAAGAUCUCUGAUUUCUUGAAUCUUGACGUCACCAACCUGACCCUUACGUAUUUCUUAUUCUAGGGUAGGUUCCACUUCGAUGGUAAUCCCUUCAGUAUGAGCCACUAUUCCUAGAUUGAGCUUCUCAAAGUCUUCUACUAACUCAUCAGGUAACUGGGCGACAAUAACUACAUGAACAUGCUCCUUCCGACUCAAGGAAUCCACAACCAGAUUCGCCUUGACCAGAUGAUAAUGAAUCUCCAAAUCAUAAUCUUUGAUGAGAUCCAACCAACGGCGUUGCCUCAGGUUGAGAUCUUUCUGAGUGAAGAUAUACUUUAAGAUCUUAUGGUCAGUGUAGACUUGGCACUUAGUCCCCAUAAUAUAAUGCCUCAAAAUCUUGAGAGCAUGCACUACGGCUGCCAGUUCUAAGUAAUGAGUGGGGUAGUUCAACUCAUGUGUUCCGCAACUGGUGAGACACGUAGGUGAUGACAUGUCCUUCUUGCAUAACAACACAACCCAAGCCCUGGCGGCACGCAUCACAUUAUAUGUCAAAUCCCUUCUGCAGAUCUAGCAUAACCAACACUAGGGGUGACAUCAAUCUAAACUUCAGUUGAUUGAAACUAUCUUGACAUUCACGAGUCCACUUAAACUCCUUUCCCUUCUCCAAUAGUGAGGUCAUAGGCUUCACAAUUUUUGAGAAUCCCUGAAUAAAUCGUCGAUAAUACCCUGUGAGUCCCAAGAAGCUCCGGAUCUCAGUAACUGAACUUGGUAUCUUCCAUCUCCACUAUCUCUCUCACUUUAGCAGGAUCCACUGAUAUUCCUCCAUUAGAGAUGAUGUGUCCAAGGAAUGGUACUUCGUCAAGCCAGAACUCACACUUGCUAUAAUUGGCAUAGAGUUAAUUAUCCCUUAACUUAUGUAGCACCAAUCGUAGAUGCUCCUCAUGAUAUCUAUCAUUUUUGGAAUAAAUCAGAAUGUCGUUGAUGAAUACCACGAUGAACUUAUCAAGAUACUCCAUGAACACCUUGUUCAUCAUAUUCAUGAAGUAGGCCGGGGCAUUAGUUAAGCCAAAUGACAUGACCGUGAACUCAUAUAGACCAUAUCGGGUAGAGAAAGCCGUCUUGGGAAUAUCAGAAGGCCUAAUUUUCAUUUGAUGAUAACCCGAUUUGAGUUCAAUCUUAGAGAAUACCCUGGCACCUCUCAUUUGAUCAAAUAAAUCUUCAAUACGAGGUAAAGGGUACUAGUUCUUAAUGGUGACAUCAUUAAGUGAUCUAUAAUCAACACACAUCUUUUGUGAACCAUCCUUCUUCUGUACAAACAGAACCGGUGUUCCCCAAGGUAAGGAACUCGGACGAAUGUACCCUGCCUCCUGUAACUCUGUUAGUUGUUUCUUAAGUUCUUUUAAUUAUUCCACUGACAUCCUAUAUGGCCGUUUAGAAAUAGGAGCGGUUGCAGGUAAGAGAUCAAUAACAAACUCAACUUCCCUAUCUGGUGGCAUUCCGG
rnacentral:lncRNA from 1 species